rnacentral:rRNA from 1 species
UACGGGGGGGGCAAGCGUUGAUCGGAAUUACUGGGCGUAAAGGGCUCGUAGGCGGCCUACUAUGUCAGACGUGAAAUCCCCCGGCUUAACCGGGGAACUGCAUCUGAUACUGGAUGGCUUGAGAUUGGGAGAGGGAUGCGGAAUUCCAGGUGUAGCGGUGAAAUGCGUAGAUAUCUGGAGGAACACCGGUGGCGAAGGCGGCAUCCUGGACCAACACUGACGCUGAGGAGCGAAAGCGAGGGGAGCAAACGGG